rfam:Capsicum annuum cultivar Zunla-1 chromosome 12, whole genome shotgun sequence
UUAUUUGCAGCUGCAGCACUAUCAAGAUUCACAUACAACAAAUUAUGGGGAGCAGGGAAAAAAAAAUAUUACUUUGUAAUAAAAUCUGUUUCUAAUUAAUUAGUUUUGAACAUGAGAAUCUUGAUGAUGCUGCAUCAGCAAAUUA